AGCGCCGCUUCUACCCCACCCCGUCCCCACCAGCAGUGCCCCCACCCCAUCCCACCUAGUCCCUACCCCAGCAGUGGCCGAGUCGGGCCUGGCCCACCCGCUCCUGCCGCCUGCGUCCUACUAGCCUCCCUCACCGCUUUGAUCACAGGAGAAAGCCUGCCUGAGUAACAGGAGGAGGCCAUCUGCAAGCCAGGAGCAGGGCCUCUGCAGAAACCAGACCUGCCAGCACCUUGAUCUGGGACUUCCAGGCUCCAGAACUGUGAGAACAUUAACUUCUGUGGUUAAGCUCCACGUCUGUGGUAUUGGCUAUGGCAGUCUGAGCUGACUAAUACACACAUUUUCAGCACACCCUUACCCCAUGCAUCUUGUUCAGGCUCCAGUCCUUUGACCCCAGUGAAGUUGUUUUUUCUUCAGAGUGUUCCCCCACAGACUUCUUCAUUCUUACCUGGGGAACGUGCUUAAAUUGUUUUCUCAUCUGUUCAUACCCAAACCAAGUCUUCCUUCCUGCGCCACCUUCCAAAACUGCCCUGGCCAGCAGUUUUCAGCUCUCCUGCAGGUCUACACCAUCUUAUCACCUGUGAUGCACAUUAGCUUUUUUUCACUCAGUGAUACUUGGCCUCCCUAUCAGAAUAUGAGCCCCUUGAAGUCCAGAGUUUGUACCUUGCAGUUGACUACCUCACAGAACCCAGCAUGAAACUGGGCACAGAGUGAACACACAUUAGAUAUUUGCUGAG
rnacentral:lncRNA from 1 species